CCCUUAGAUGUCCUGGACCGCACGCGCGCUACACUGAUGCAUUCAACGAGUUCUACCUUGGCCGAGAGGCCUGGGCAAUCUUUUGAACCUGCAUCGUGAUAGGGAUAGAUUAUUGCAAUUAUUAAUCUUGAACGAGGAAUUCCUAGUAAACGCAGAUCAUCAAUCUGCAUUGAUUACGUCCCUGCCCUUUGUACACACCGCCCGUCGCACCUACCGAUUGAAUGGUCCGGUGAAGCCUCGGGAUUGUGGCGAGUUCCCUUUAUUGGGAGUUUGUCGCGAGAACUUGUCUAAACCUUAUCAUUUAGAGGAAGGUGAAGUCGUAACA
rnacentral:rRNA from 1 species